rnacentral:rRNA from 1 species
CCUACGGGGAGCUGCAGUGGGGAAUAUUGGACAAUGGGCGAAAGCCUGAUCCAGCCAUGCCGCGUGUGUGAAGAAGGCCUUCGGGUUGUAAAGCACUUUCAGUGGGGAAGAAAGCCUUGGGGCUAAUACCCUCGAGGAAGGACAUCACCCACAGAAGAAGCACCGGCUAACUCCGUGCCAGCAGCCGCGGUAAUACGGAGGGUGCGAGCGUUAAUCGGAAUUACUGGGCGUAAAGCGCGCGUAGGCGGUCUGAUAAGCCGGUUGUGAAAGCCCCGGGCUCAACCUGGGAACAGCAUCCGGAACUGUCAGGCUAGAGUGCAGGAGAGGAAGGUAGAAUUCCCGGUGUAGCGGUGAAAUGCGUAGAGAUCGGGAGGAAUACCAGUGGCGAAGGCGGCCUUCUGGACUGACACUGACGCUGAGGUGCGAAAGCGUGGGUAGCAAACAGGAUUAGAUACCCCAGUAGUC